rnacentral:rRNA from 1 species
UACGUAGGGGGCUAGCGUUGUCCGGAAUCAUUGGGCGUAAAGAGCGUGUAGGCGGCCAUACAGGUCCGUUGUGAAAACUGGAGGCUUAACCUCCAGACGUCGAUGGAAACCGUAUGGCUAGAGUCCGGAAGAGGAGAGUGGAAUUCCUGGUGUAGCGGUGAAAUGCGCAGAUAUCAGGAGGAACACCCGUGGCGAAGGCGGCUCUCUGGGACGGUACUGACGCUGAGACGCGAAAGCGUGGGGAGCGAACAGG